GAUGAACGCUGGCGGCGUGCUUAACACAUGCAAGUCGAGCGAAGGGACAAAGCGGAAUUUUUCGAAAGGAAGCAAUGUUGACUUAGCGGCGGACGGGUGAGUAACGCGUGGAUAACCUGCCUCAUACAGGGGGAUAACAGUUAGAAAUGGCUGCUAAUACCGCAUAAGCGCACAGGGGCGCAUGUCCUGGUGUGAAAAACUCCGGUGGUAUGAGAUGGAUCCGCGUCUGAGUAGCUAGUUGGCGGGGUAGAGGCCCACCAAGGCGACGAUCAGUAGCCGACCUGAGAGGGUGACCGGCCACAUUGGGACUGAGACACGGCCCAA
rnacentral:rRNA from 1 species